rnacentral:rRNA from 1 species
UACGUAGGAGGCGAGCGUUGUCCGGAGUUACUGGGCGUAAAGGGUGCGCAGGCGGUGGCCCGCGUGGGCGGUGAAAGCUCCUGGCUCAACUGGGAGAGGGCCGUCCAGACGGGGUCACUUGAGGGGCGGAGAGGGGCGUGGAAUUCCGGGUGGAGCGGUGAAAUGCGUAGAGAUCCGGAGGAACACCCGUGGCUAAGGCGGCUCUCUAGUACGGUACUGACGCUGAGACGCGAAAGCGUGGGGAGCGAACAGG